rnacentral:rRNA from 1 species
AUUGAACGCUGGCGGCAGGCCUAACACAUGCAAGUCGAACGAGUGGCGGACGGGUGAGUAAUGUCUGGGAAACUGCCUGAUGGAGGGGGAUAACUACUGGAAACGGUAGCUAACACCGCAUACCAUCAGAUGUGCCCAGAUGGGAUUAGCUUGUUGGUGGGGGAACGGCUCAUCAAGGCGACGAUCCCUAGCUGGUCUGAGAGGAUGAACAGCCACACUGGGACUGAGACACGGUCCAGACUCCUACGGGAGGCAGCAGUGGGGAAUAGUGCACAAUGGGCGCAAGCCUGAUGCAGCAAUGCCGCGUGUAUGAAGAAGGCCUUAGGGUUGUAAAGUACUUGCAGCGGGGAGGCGUUACCGACAGAAGAAGCACCGGCUAACUCCGUGCCAGCCGCCGCGGUAAUUC